GAUGAACGCUGGCGGCGUGCCUAAUACAUGCAAGUCGAGCGAACGGACGAGAAGCUUGCUUCUCUGAUGUUAGCGGCGGACGGGUGAGUAACACGUGGAUAACCUACCUAUAAGACUGGGAUAACUUCGGGAAACCGGAGCUAAUACCGGAUAAUAUUUUGAACCGCAUGGUUCAAAAGUGAAAGACGGUCUUGCUGUCACUUAUAGAUGGAUCCGCGCUGCAUUAGCUAGUUGGUACGGUAACGGCUUACCGAGGCAACGAUGCAUAGCCGACCUGAGAGGGGAUUCGGCCACACUGGACCUGAGCCACGGCCCAGACCCCUACGGGAGGCAGCAGUAGGGAAUCUUCCGCAAGGGGCGAAAGCCUGACGGAGCAACGCCGCGGGAGUGAUGAAGGUCUUCGGAUCGUAAAACUCUGUUAUUAGGGAAGAACAUAUGUGUAAGUAACUGUGCACAUCUUGACGGUACCGAAUCAGAAAGCCACGGCUAACUACGU
rnacentral:rRNA from 1 species